GAAAGCCGUAUGCUUUGGAAGAAGCUUGUACAGUUUGGGAAGGGGUUUUUUGAGAGAAAAGAAGGUGCAAGCAUUUUACGAUUAAGAAUCAAUUUCUU
rnacentral:ncRNA from 1 species